GACAGAGGGUGCAAACGUUGUUCGGAAUUACUGGGCGUAAAGCGCGUGUAGGCGGCUAAGUAAGUCGGGCGUGAAAUCCCACGGCUCAACCGUGGAAGUGCACUCGAAACUGCAUAGCUAGAGUCCUGGAGAGGAAGGUGGAAUGCUUGGUGUAGAGGUGAAAUUCGUAGAUAUCAAGCGGAACACCGGUGGCGAAGGCGGCCUUCUGGACAGUGACUGACGCUGAGACGCGAAAGCGUGGGUAGCAAACAGGG
rnacentral:rRNA from 1 species